rnacentral:rRNA from 1 species
CGAGGAUCUCUCAGUAACGGCGAGUGAACGGAGAAAAGCCCAGCGCUAAAUUAAAAUGAUCUCAUUGGUCAUUUUGAGCUGUAGCGUAUAGGUGCAAUUGUCCAAUUGUUUUGUGCACUCAAAGUCCCCUUGAGCGGGGCCACAGUCCAUAGAAGGUGCUAGACCUGUACGGGUGACGAAGCAAUUGGUUGAUUGCUCCUUGGAGUCGGGUUGCCUGAGAUCGCAGCUCAAAGUGGGUGGUAAACCUCAUCUAAGGCUAAAUAUGGCCACGAGACCGAUAGCAAACAAGUACCGCGAGGGAAAGUUGAAAAGAACUCUGAGAAGAGAGUUAAACGAGGGCGUGAAACCGCUGGGAUGGAAACGAAUAGAGUUGACGAAACCUACCGUCAUUCAACCGAUUAACUCUGCGGUCUUUCAUUUUUUAAUACCUUCGGUUGCCAUACAAUGCUAACCACAUUGUGUGUUGCACUGCUGGAUUAAAGUGAAAGGUGCUGUUGGGUGUAUUCGCAGCGUGUGUAUUUAUAAGCUGCGUAAUCGGUGCAUUUGAUGGUGGUACGCGCCGAGAGCCGCGUUAUUGUACAACGAAAUGUACAAUGUAGUGGAGCGUACAGUUUCCUGUACGUUAACCUGCAUUCAUGGAAGUGUAUCGAUAAUGCGGUUGAAAAUUUAUUUGCAUACUUCCGCCAAUUUUUUUGGUGCGUUACUAUUGUUAUUCGAUUAGUUUUGACACUGCAUAAUUGAAUUAAUGUAAAUUGUGCAUGUGUUAUAAAAAAUUGGUCAAACAAUAGUAUUACGCGUUGAAGUUGCAUCUCGGUGUGAGCGUCGAUCACCUAUUCGACCCGUCUUGAAACACGGACCAAGGAGUCUAGCAUAUACGCGAGUUAUUUGGUGGUAAACCAUAAAAACGCAAUGAAAGUGAACAUUGUCUUUGGAUACAAUGUGAUAUGUGAGCUAUGUGUUAUGAUAUUGAAUUUUUUAAUUCAAAAUUAUGCACAUGGUGCAACAUAGCCCCGUCCCCGUUGCUUGCAAUAGGGCGGAGGUAGAGCGUAUACGCUGGGACCCGAAAGAUGGUGAACUAUGCCUGAGCAGGAUGAAGCCAGAGGAAACUCUGGUGGAGGUCCGAAGCGAUUCUGACGUGCAAAUCGAUCGUCUGACUUUGGUAUAGGGGCGAAAGACUAAUCGAACCAUCUAGUAGCUGGUUCCCUCUGAAGUUUCCCCCAGGAUAGCUGGAGCACGUGAAAGAGCAGUUAUAUUCGGUAAAGCAAAUGAUUAGACGUAUUGGGGACGAAACGUCCUCAACCUAUUCUCAAACUUUCAAUGGGUAUGAAGUUYCGCUUGCUUAAAAUUAUGAAGCGUGAACAUUGAAUGUGUGCUCCAAGUGGGCCAUUUUUGGUAAGCAGAACUGGCGCUGUGGGAUGAACCAAACGUCGAGAUAAAGUGCCAAACUUUUCGCUCAUGAGACCCCAUGAAAGGCGUUGGUUGAUAUAGACAGCAGGACGGUGGCCAUGGAAGUCGGAAGCCGCUAAGGAGUGUGUAACAACUCACCUGCCGAAUCAACUAGCCCUGAAAAUGGAUGGCGCUUGAGCGGGAGACUUAUACUCGACCGUUGCUUGACUUGUGCACACAAGUUAUUCCUUCUUCUUCUCCCUCUUCUUCUACUACUACUACUACUACUACUCCUUCACCUCCUCCUUCUCCUCCUUUUUUUCUUCGCUACUCAAAAGAACUAUAUCAUUUGGUGUUUGUGUGUGUGCGUGUAUGUGUGUGUGUGUGUGCGUGUACGUGUGCGUGUGCAUUUAUUUACGCACGCACUCGCUCACGCAUGCUCGCUCGCGCGUGCGUUUAUUCACUCAAUUUCUUGUUUUACUAUUGCCAUGUUGCUGCUGUUGUUCAAUAGCAUCAUACUCAUUUUUUCGUUUUUUGAUGCACAUACAAAUGAAUGUUAAUGUGUUUGCGUGUGUUUGUUAACAAAAAUGUUUGUGUCAAAGUGUAUUUAAAGAAAUGAAAAUCAAAAAUGAGAAUGAGAGAAUUUCGAUUUUCUUAUCUCAUUUUAAAUUUUCUUUUUCUUUUUAUACAUUUUCUCACAUCAUUUAUCAUCUCCAAACACAUAUGACAUUCAUUUGAUUUUAUUUCAUUCCAAAAUUGGAGUGAAAAAAAGAAACAUCGACAAAUGUGCAUCAAUUUAUGAAAAUAUGUAUACACACAAAAGUUUGUGUGUGUGUGUGUGCGUGCUUGUGUAUGAUGUUAUGUUGUGUGUGUGUCUCACAAAAACACCACCACAGAAAAUGAUAGCAGUAACUAGCAAUAGGUGAUAAUAAUCAAAAAAAA